rnacentral:rRNA from 1 species
UGCGUAGGUGUUCCGAUAAGCUCUGAGUGAAAGCUCUGCGCUUAACGUAGAAAGGUCUCGGAUAACUGUCGGAAUUGAGUUCGGGGGAAGAGAGUGGAAUUCUCGGUGUAGCGGUGAAAUGCGUAGAUAUCGAGAAGAACACCAGCGGCGAAGGCGGCUCUCUAUCCCGAAACUGACACUCAAGCACGAAAGCGUGGGGAGCAAACAGGAUUAGAUACCCUGGUAGUCC